rnacentral:rRNA from 1 species
CCUAUGGGUGGCAGCAGUGAGGAAUAUUGGUCAAUGGGCGCGAGCCUGAACCAGCCAAGUAGCGUGAAGGAUGACUGCCCUACGGGUUGUAAACUUCUUUUAUAUGGGAAUAAAAUGUUCCACGUGUGGGAUUUUGUAUGUACCAUAUGAAUAAGGAUCGGCUAACUCCGUGCCAGCAGCCGCGGUAAUACGGAGGAUACGAGCGUUAUGCGGAUUUAAUGGGUUUAAAGGGAGCGUAGGGGGAUUGUUAAGUCAGAUGUGAAAGUUUGGGGCUCAACCGUAAAAUUGCAGUUGAAACUGGCAGUCUUGAGUACAGUAGAGGUGGGCGGAAUUCGUGGUGUAGCGGUGAAAUGCUUAGAUAUCUCGAAGAACUCCGAUGGCGAAGGCAGUUCACUGGACUGCAAUUGACACUGAGGUUCGAAAGUGUGGGUAUCAAACAGGAUUAGAUACCCUUGUAGUC